rnacentral:lncRNA from 1 species
GGUUAUUAACUAGGUGCAUCUUUGGAUCUUUAAAAAGAGUGAAAAAGACAUAAUCAAUCUGCGUGUGAUGUUUAGGGGUUUAGUUAGUAUUAGUCAACAUAUUUAUAGCAAAUCUCAUCAAGCUCCAUUUUUAAACCCUGACUCAGCUGACAAUCCCACAAAGCAGAAGGGAAGAGUGGGAUUAAUAUAUUAGUCACUUGUAAAACUUGCCAGUCCCUCAAUUACACUAGUUCCAGUAAAAUGUUCAGGGGAAUAAUUUAAAACAAUUUUUUUUAAAGUAGAGCCUCUCUGUGUACUGCUUCUGACACAAAAGAUUUGUGUCACUCUAGCAUAUUACUUAUUUACUGUUACAAUUGUUUAAUUCAGGGGGCUCCUCACCAGAUUUGGAAUGCCUGAAAGGCCAGUGCUCUGUUGGGUUCUUUAUUGUCCUUGCCUUAUUUCCUUCCAUGGGGCUGCACACAAUUACAUAGUCAGUAAGCAAUAAAUGUCAGUUGGAAACAUAAAUAAAUGAACAAGCUGACUGUCCCCACUGCGCGUAUCUGCUAAUAAGUAAUACAGAAAGCUGAGGGAUCAAAAGAGUCACAUGACUCUCAGUGACAUGGAGAAGUCCUUUGGCCACUCCAUUUGGCAGUUCUGCCCUGGCCACUUGUUCCACAUGGUACUGCUGGAGGUUGGAUACAAAUCAGCAGGNNUCCAAAACCACCUGCAGAAAAGUCACUUGGAAUUUAAACCCAACUGAAGCAGGUGAGAGAAGGAGGUAAAUGAGUGAUAUCACCACCUAAUUAGAAAGCUGGUUCUUAGCAGUUACUCAGUUAUUUCCUUAUUACCUAUUUCCAGGCACUUGUGAGAAUUUGAAUGGUCAGGAUCUUGGUUUGUCUUCGCUAGACACAAACACCUCUGGGGCUUCUACUCAUUGAAAGUCCUUUCGGAAUAAACUGAAGCAGGUGAGAGAAGGAGGUAAAUGAGUGAUAUCACCACCUAAUUAGAAAGCUGGUUCUUAGCAGUUACUCAGUUAUUUCCUUAUUACCUAUUUCCAGGCACUUGUGAGAAUUUGAAUGGUCAGGAUCUU